ACUUAAAUAUUUUAAAUUAAAAUAAUGUAUUGUGGUUUCAUUGAUGUGUUUUUCACUUUAAGUU
rnacentral:tRNA from 1 species